rnacentral:lncRNA from 1 species
AGUAUCAGAACACAAAACCAUUAGCAUUCUUAAUUGGUACCUGCAGUAGUAUAACUCUCAAUCAUUCAAACCCAUUCACAACUCAGUUCACAGUGUACACUCACAACAUUUCACUUAAGAGAAACUGCAGAGUCAUGGACAAAGCAUUGAACUUUGGUAGAAAUCCAUCAGAUACUCUACCAAACAAUCUGCCCAGUCAGCCAAUGGAACUUUCUCCAAUACCCUUCAAUAAAAUCCAUUGCCCGAUCACAACCAAGCGCGUGAAACAAACCCAAAAACAAGCUCGACCCUUAAACAUAGACAUAGUAAACGCGCACAAAAGAAAAGGUGAAAACUUCUAGUUUUUGACGAACUGAAGAACCCUAAAGACUUGAAUAUUUGACAAUGGCACAGAGAGGAACAGACGGAAAUUACCUUAUUACCAGCGGUUGCUCCCUCUAUUGUUGAAUUGGGUUCCACGAGAAGGACCAGAGAAGCUAAAAAGGGGGAAAAAGGAGCUAAGAGAAGUAGUGGGUGGACUUGGUUUGGAAAGGGGAGAGCAAAUGCAGUUUGGGGAGACGAGAGAGAGGGAGGAGAGGAGUAUAUAAAUGGUGAAUGGGGGGUAUGAAUUGAAUUUGGGGACUAGGGUUUGGUUGGGGAGAGAUGGAAUUGAUUGGGAAAGAAGGAUGGAUGAUGGGGGUUUGAUUUAAGGGGGAAAUGAAUGAGGACUGAGUGACUGGACAAAAAGAGGAAAUGAAUUGAAAGGAAAGAAAUAGGGAGGGAGGAAGGGAGGGAAGUCUGAUUGCUUUGCAGUUGCAGUCUGAACUGAAUGGCAGUUUUAGGUGCAAUCAGAGUGGACCCGGGUCGGAUUUAUGUUGGACCCGAUGGACCAUUUUUUUGCCAGUUC